rnacentral:rRNA from 1 species
AGAGUUUGAUCAUGGCUCAGGAUGAACGCUAGCUACAGGCUUAACACAUGCAAGUCGAGGGGCAGCAUGUUGGUUGCUUGCAACCAAUGAUGGCGACCGGCGCACGGGUGAGUAACGCGUAUCCAACCUACCCUUGUCCAUCGGAUAACCCGUCGAAAGGCGGCCUAACACGAUAUGCGGUUCUCAGCAGGCAUCUAACGAGAACGAAAUGUGAAGGAGAAGGAUGGGGAUGCGUCUGAUUAGCUUGUUGGCGGGGUAACGGCCCACAAGGCGACGAUCAGUAGGGGUUCUGAGAGGAGGUCCCCCANAUUGGAACUGAGACACGGUCCAAACUCCGUACGGGAGCA